GUCUGCCGCUACCUAAGUUCAGGGGCUCUCAGACCCCGUUGCAGAAAGACAAUGGCUGCCCUUUACAAGGGAAUCACUCAUUAUGGAAGAACCCACUGAGCA
rnacentral:lncRNA from 1 species